CACGUAGGGUGCGAGCGUUGUCCGGAAUUAUUGGGCGUAAAGAGCUCGUAGGCGGUGUGUCGCGUCGGCCGUGAAAACCUGCAGCUUAACUGUGGGCUUGCGGUCGAUACGGGCAUCACUGGAGUUCGGCAGGGGAGACUGGAAUUCCUGGUGUAGCGGUGAAAUGCGCAGAUAUCAGGAGGAACACCGGUGGCGAAGGCGGCUCACUGGCCCGGUACUGACGCUGAGGAGCGAAAGCGUGGGGAGCAAACAGG
rnacentral:rRNA from 1 species